AGUGAACGCUGGCGGUAGGCCUAACACAUGCAAGUCGAACGGCAGCACAGUAAGAGCUUGCUCUUACGGGUGGCGAGUGGCGGACGGGUGAGGAAUACAUCGGCAUCUACUUUUUCGUGGGGGAUAACGUAGGGACACUUACGCUACUACCGCAUACGACCUACGGGUGAAAGCAGGGGAUCUUCGGACCUUGCGCGAUUGAAUGAGCCGAUGUCGGAUUAGCUAGUUGGCGGGGUAAAGGCCCACCAAGGCGACGAUCCGUAGCUGGUCUGAGAGGAUGAUCAGCCACACUGGAACUGAGACACGGUCCAGACUCCUACGGGAGGCAGCAGUGGGGAAUAUUGGACAAUGGGCGCAAGCCUGAUCCAGCCAUACCGCGUGGGUGAAGAAGGCCUUCGGGUUGUAAAGCCCUUUUGUUGGGAAAGAAAAGCAGCAGGUUAAUACCCCGCUGUUCUGACGGUACCCAAAGAAUAAGCACCGGCUAACUUCGUG
rnacentral:rRNA from 1 species